rnacentral:rRNA from 1 species
UCGAACGAUGGACCUCCAGCUUGCUGGGGUGAUUAGUGGCGAACGGGUGAGUAACACGUGAGUAACCUGCCCUCCACUCUGGGAUAAGCACUGGAAACGGUGUCUAAUACCGGAUACGAGCUUCCGCCGCAUGGUGAGGAGCUGGAAAGAAUUUUGGUGGUGGAUGGACUCGCGGCCUAUCAGGUAGUUGGUGAGGUAAUGGCUCACCAAGCCGACGACGGGUAGCCGGCCUGAGAGGGUGACCGGCCACACUGGGACUGAGACACGGCCCAGACUCCUACGGGAGGCAGCAGUGGGGAAUAUUGCACAAUGGGCGAAAGCCUGAUGCAGCAACGCCGCGUGAGGGACGACGGCCUUCGGGUUGUAAACCUCUUUUAGUAGGGAAGAAGCGAAAGUGACGGUACCUGCAGAAAAAGCACCGGCUAACUACGUGCCAGCAGCCGCGGUAAUACGUAGGGUGCAAGCGUUGUCCGGAAUUAUUGGGCGUAAAGAGCUCGUAGGCGGUUUGUCGCGUCUGCUGUGAAAUCCGGAGGCUCAACCUCCGGCCUGCAGUGGGUACGGGCAGACUAGAGUGCGGUAGGGGAGAUUGGAAUUCCUGGUGUAGCGGUGGAAUGCGCAGAUAUCAGGAGGAACACCAAUGGCGAAGGCAGAUCUCUGGGCCGUAACUGACGCUGAGGAGCGAAAGCAUGGGGAGCGAACAGGAUUAGAUACCCUGGUAGUCCAUGCCGUAAACGUUGGGAACUAGGCGUAGGGUCCAUUCCACGGAUUCUGUGCCGCAGCUAACGCAUUAAGUUCCCCGCCUGGGGAGUACGGCCGCAAGGCUAAAACUCAAAGGAAUUGACGGGGGCCCGCACAAGCGGCGGAGCAUGCGGAUUAAUUCGAUGCAACGCGAAGAACCUUACCAAGGCUUGACAUAUACCGGAAAAGUUCAGAAAUGUUCUCCCCCGCAAGGUCGGUAUACAGGUGGUGCAUGGUUGUCGUCAGCUCGUGUCGUGAGAUGUUGGGUUAAGUCCCGCAACGAGCGCAACCCUCGUUCUAUGUUGCCAGCACGUAAUG